rnacentral:lncRNA from 1 species
UCCCACAUCGGAUGGGAUACUGAUUCCGAUCAGUUUAUAUAAGGCCUACACGCUAGUAAUAAUAACUAGGCUUAAGCAUUUUGGGCCAGUGGUUUGGGCCCAACGAGUUAUUGUUGCUAGCGGGUCGGGUCGUUGCAAUUGGUAUCAGAGCCGAAUACCAGCCGAAAGUGUGAGAACUAAGUGCUAUGCGGGACAAAGUGCUACACCAACGGGUUUGGUGGGAGCCACCUCUUGAACCCGUAGGAGCCACCUCUAGAAUCUCACAUCGCCUGGUAAUGGCCCUGGUCUGUUUGUCUGUGAUCUGGUUUGGACCCGACGAGGACAUCAGGGUCUAAACAUGGGGAGUUUGUAACGCCCCCAAUAGUCCCACAUUGGAUAGGAUACUGAUUCCGAUCAGUUUAUAUAAGGCCUACACGCUAGUAAUAAUAACUGGGCUAAAGCAUUUUGGGCCGGUGGUUUGGGCCCAACG